GGAAUACGUGUAACACAACAGUUGGAAGAACGGAAACAGCCAUCUCCAUGGAAACAGAAAAAUGAAAUGACACGAACUGAGGGCUUUCUCAGAGUUCUCCAGUUUCCACCUGUUUUCUGAUGACAUGCAGUUAAAUGCGCUGGACCUGCUAAACGGUCCGUAAAGUGCAUGUUUGUGCCCUGAGAUUGAGGACUGAGUGGGCAUCCUCUGAAAAAUGAGUGGAAGUCAAUGGGAAGAAGGAGGGAUGGAAAAAUGGCAAAAAGGGAAAUUGGCUAAUGAAUUGUGAAGAAAAUGAAAAAUAUAUGCUCCACACUUCCAUGACCCUGCAUGGGAUGGAUGGAAGAAUGGAUGGAUGGGUGGAUGUUGCUCAUAUGCAGUGUACUAGCCGGACACAAUGCCUCAACACGGUCAGACUUAUUACUCCUUUUAUUUAGUAGUAGUGCUUAACCUUAGUUCUAUGUCUUAUGUUCUUUCUCUUAUGUUAAAUGGGACAGUGCUGACCCAUGCCUUAAAUCAGCCAUAAAUAAUUGUUUUGAGGGUAUUUUAUCAUCCAAUUUGUUUCUUACCUCUUGGUUACCUUGUUAGGCUUCCUUAUCCAUGAAAAAAAUGGAUUUAAUAUUUUUGGUGUGGCUUUCUGAACCUUUCUUUUGACAGUAUACCUCAAUGAAAAAAUGAUGGUAACAUAAACCUCCAGAGAAUUAUAUAAAUAAACUGAAUUGGUCUUAUCUUGCCUUGCAUGUCUGGGCAUGCCUUUCCCAGCGAAAGAAAAUUUGUUUUAAUUUAUUUUGUUUAAAUAGAGAUUCCUGACAAAGUCAAAAAGCCUUGAUGCAGUACACAAAUUUAUGUGGUGCUUUUAUGCAUCGUAAUCUUACAAACGGGUUGGUGCCGACCCCAACACCAGAGUGGUUAUCAUCAUAACCAGAGCAUUUAUAAUUUUGUGAUUAAAAUAUAUAUAUAUAUUUUUUUUUUGUUUAAAUAGAGGUUCCUGACAAAGUCAUAAAGCUUUGAUUCAGUACACAGAUCUAUGUGCUGUUUUUAUGCAUUUUAAACUUACAAACAGGUCAGUGCCGACCCAAACACGACAGCCAGGUUAACUGAAGUAUAGUGGACUGUAUGAUUUAAUAAAAAAAAAAAAAUAUGUAGAAUAUGAAGUACGUCUAUUUGAAACUUUGUGGCUUGUUUUUAACAUGUGUGUGGCAUUUUUGUAUGGUGUGUCUGCCAGCUAAUUUGGUCUUUGUGUGCUUGGAGGAGAGGUGGGUGAUGGAGAGCACUGAAGAUUUAUCAUACCAAGGUGGCACAGCGCAAGCAAAAUAUGGGUUUAAUAUUACAUGUGUAAAAUAUCAAAGUAGGUGUAAUUAUUGCUUUUAACUAUACGAAACAGGAAA